GACGAACGCUGGCGGCGUGCCUAAUACAUGCAAGUAGAACGCUGAAGGAGGAGCUUGCUCUUCUGGAUGAGUUGCGAACGGGUGAGUAACGCGUAGGUAACCUGCCUGGUAGCGGGGGAUAACUAUUGGAAACGAUAGCUAAUACCGCAUAAGAGUAGAUGUUGCAUGACAUUUACUUAAAAGGUGCAAUUGCAUCACUACCAGAUGGACCUGCGUUGUAUUAGCUAGUUGGUGGGGUAACGGCUUACCAAGGCGACGAUACAUAGCCGACCUGAGAGGGUGAUCGGCCACACUGGGACUGAGACACGGCCCAGACUCCUACGGGAGGCAGCAGUAGGGAAUCUUCGGAAAUGGACGGAAGUCUGACCGAGCAACGCCGCGUGAGUGAAGAAGGUUUUCGGAUCGUAAAGCUCUGUUGUAAGAGAAGAACGAGUGUGAGAGUGGAAAGUUCACACUGUGACGGUAUCUUACCAGAAAGGGACGGCUAACUACGUG
rnacentral:rRNA from 1 species